rnacentral:lncRNA from 1 species
GAAAUGAUAUGAGUGCAUUACUAUUAACUAACCUGCAGACGUUAUUCGGACUUCGCUAAUUCUUCCUCAUGUCCUUUUUCUCUUUCAGGGUCCCUUCCAGGAUCUUACAUUGCUUUUAAUUGUCAUAUGUCCUUGGGUUCCUGUGAUAUGUGAGAGUUUCUCAGACUUUCCUUGUUUUUGGUAAUGACAGUUUUCAGGAGCACUGGCCAGGUAUUUUGAAGAAUGUCCUUCAGGAGGGAGUUUAUCUGAUGUUUUUCUCAUGGUUAGGAGUUACGGGUUUUUGGAAGGAAGAGCAUAGAGGUAAAGUGUUACUCUCAUCCUUUAUAGCAAAGAUCAUAUUAUCAACACAACUUAUCACUGAGGAUGUUAACCUUGAUCCACUGGCUGAGGUAAUGUUUGCCAGGUUUUGCCACCGUAAAGUUACAUUUCCCCUCCCGCUUUUCUAUAGCUUACUCUUUGGAAGCAAGUCAGUAAGCACAGCCAAUGUAGGCUGAAUGUGUUCUCCCAAAAUUUAUAUUUUGAAGUCCUCACCUCCAGUAUCUCAGAAUGUGACCAUAUUUGAGAUAAAGUUUACAAAGAGGUAAUUAAGUUAAAGGACGUCUUUAAGAUGUGUGCUAAUCCAAUAUGACUGGUGUUAUUUUAAGAAGAAAUUUGAACCUGAUAUGCAUGUGCACAGAGAAAAGACCACGUGAAGACACAAGAAGACGAUGGCAAUCUGCAAGUCAAGGAAAGAAAGAAAACAAAC